rnacentral:snoRNA from 1 species
AUUUGUUUAUUAUUAUUAUUUUUUGAGUAGGAAUCUCACUCUAUCGCUCAGGCUAGAGUACAGUGGCACAAUC